rnacentral:sRNA from 1 species
UUCUGUUUUGUAGGCAGUCCGUUUUUAGUGACUUCCAUUUAUGCAGUCUUGAAGGCUCAUCAUGAUACAGACAAUAUCUGUUGGCUACCUUCACCGAAGUCCAAGAAUACGAUCACAAUCUAUACAAUUGUUGCAUUUACAUGUUUAACACUGUUAGUGAUCAAUGUAAUAAUUGUAGCUAUUGUGGUGUGGAUCCUCUGUCAUAAACUGCGAGAAUCUACAUCAAUAGAAACACAACAAUUCCGCAAAGCUACACGGGCUAUCGUGAUAUUACUUCCCUUGCUUGGUCUACACUUAAUUUUGACCUACCCUUUAGAGUUUCUUAGUUCUACGGUAGAAGUAUUUUUGUCCGUCACACGUAAUUUUCUACAGGGCAUUCAGGGUAUUUUGGUGGCUACAUUCUAUUGCUUUCUGAACAACGAGGUGCAGGAAGCUAUUCGUCUCAGGGUGUUUGUGUAUCAAGAGAAAACGGUCUCUUUAUGCAUCAUUGACUAACAUAUUAAGCAGCAGAAGGAGUAACCACUCGUCCUCUGCUUUGAGAAAUUCCUACGAAAAUGCGAAAUCUACUCUUCCUGUCAAGAACGAGGGCGCAGAAUCUCCGCGGCCUUUACCUACGCCCUCAGACAGUCGCAAGGCAUCCUUCAUUUGGAGCGAGACUUCUGUUUAAUUGAAAUGUACGCUAUUGAUGGCGUGGAGAAACCUGAACUGACCUAGGUUUCGCAAGUCUAAUCACGCAUUUUAUUUUUACUUGACGCUGUAAUUAAGUGUUACUUGGGCAGCUUUGAAUUUAUUUUCAGUUUGAAGCAGCCGAUGUACUGGACAGUUAGUUUAAUAUCUGAUAAUAUUACAUUUUAUUUUUUAAAAUGAUAUCAAUUGUUUUAUUAAUAUCAAUUUUAAGGUCUAGUAGAUUUUAAUUGAUUACUUUUCAGAUAUUGAGAUUCUAGAAUAGAAUUUAAAAUAUGUGAGUCCUAUACUAUUUAGUAGUCUGAAAAAGGCCUACAACUAGAUAUAUAUUCCAAAUUGUGUAUCUUAAGCAUGUAUUAGCUGAGACUAUAGAGGUCAUUUCUCAAUACUUGUUCUAAGCUAUGAGAAUGAAAUAAGGUUAGAUAUGUCAUCUAUGUUUUCAUGUUUAAACAUUUUUAUUUUAUUAUUAUUA